AUGGACUUCUGGAGAGUGGACUUUGGCCUCUUUUGGACCAUGGUUGAGAGAGUCCCUUGGGAGGUAGUUCUGGAGGGUAUGGGAUCCCAGGAAGGCUGGGAGUACUUUAAGGAAGCUAUUUUAAAGGUGCAGGAGCUGACCAUCUUCAAAUCAUGGAAGAUGAGCUGUAGGGGAAGGAGACCGGUCUGGCUGAACAGAGACCCUAGGCUGGAACUCAGGAACAAAAGGAAAGUUUAUGGUCUUUGGAAGAGGGGGCAAGGAACUUAUGAUGAUUACAAGUAUGUAGUGAAGCUGUGCAGGGAGAAAAUUAGAAAAGCCAAAGCUCAGCUAGAACCAAACUUGGCCACUAAGGUGAAAAACAACAAUAAAUAUUUCUAUAAAUACAUCAACAGUAAGAGGAGGGCUAGGGAGAAUCUCCAUCCCCUGCUGGAUGCUGAGGGCAACAUGGUGACCAAGGAUCAGGAUAAGGCUGAUGUACAUAAUGCUUUCUUUGCCUCAGUCUUUAAUAGUAAGACUAGUUGCUCCCUGGGCACACAGCCCCUUGAGCUGGUAGAUAAGGAUGGGGAACAGAAUAGGCCCUGCAUAAUCCGUAAUGAAAUGGUUUUGAACCUGCUCCAAAAGCUGGACACUCACAAGUCCAUGGGGCCAGAUGGAUUGCACCUUAGAGUGCUGAGGGAGUUGGCAGAUGUGGUUGACAAGCCACUCUCCAUCAUCCUUCGACAGUCCUGGCUAACAGGGAAUGUCCCGGUGGACUGGAGACUAGCUAAUGUGAUUCCCAUCUUCAAAAAGGUCCGGAAAGAUGAACCUGUUAGCAAGAGACCUACUAAUCUCAUCUCGGUGCCAGGGAAGGUUAUGGAAUGGAUGAUCUCUGGAGCCAUCAUGAAUCAAUUAAAGGUCAACCAGGGGAUCAGGCCCAGUCAGCAUGGGUUUACGAAUGGUAGAUCCUGCUUGACAAACCUGAUUCCUUUCUAUGACAAGGUGACCCACUUAGUGGAUAAAGGUAAGGCUGUAGAUGUGGUCUACCUGGACUUCAGCAGAGCCUUUAACAACAUCCUUGUGGAGAAGCUGGCUGCCCAUGGUUUGGAUGGGCAUAUGCUCUGCCUGGAAACACUGACUGGAUGGCCCAGGCCCAAAGAGUUGUGGUCAGUGGAGUUAAAUCCAGCUGGUGACCAGUCACGAGCGGUGUCCCCCAGAGCUCGGUACUGGGGACGCUUCUAUUCAACAUCUUUAUCAAUGAUCUUGAUGAGGGGAUUGAGUGCACCCUCAGUAAGUUUGCAGACGACACCAAGUUUGGAGGGAGUGUUGAUCUGCUGGAGGGCAGAAAGGCUUUACAGAGGGACCUGGAUAGACUGGAUCAAUGGGCCAAGGAAAACUAUGAGUUUCAAUAGGGCCAAGUGUCAGGUCCUGCACUUUGGUCACAGCAACCCCAAGCAACCCUACAGGCUUGGGGAGGAGUGGCUGGAAAGCUACUUGAUGGAAAGGGACCUUGGUGUGCUGAUGGACAGUCAGCUGAAUAUGAGCCAGCAGUGUGCCCAGGUGGCCAAGAAGGCCAAUGGCAUCCUGGCUUGUAUCAGGAAUGGUGUGNUGAUGGAAAGGGACCUUGGUGUGCUGAUGGACAGUCAGCUGAAUAUGAGCCAGCAGUGUGCCCAGGUGGCCAAGAAGGCCAAUGGCAUCCUGGCUUGUAUCAGGAAUGGUGUGAUGAGCAGGACUAGGGAAGUAAUCCUGCCCCUGUACUCGGUAUUGGUGAGGCCCCACCUUGAGUACUGUGUUCAGUUUUGGGCGCCUCAGUACAGAAAGGACACUGAGGUGCUGGAGCAGGUCCAAAGAAGGGCAACAAGGCUGGUGAAGGGCUUGGAGAAUAUUCCCUAUGAGGAGAGACUGAAGGAACUGGGGCUGUUUAGUCUGGGAAAGAGAAGGCUGAGGGGAGACCUUAUUGCUCUCUUCAAAUACCUGAAAGCUGAUUGCAGUGAGAGCGGGGUUGGUCUCUUCUCACUGGUGACAGGUGACAGGACAAGGGGAAAUGGCCUCAAGUUGCACCUGGGGAGGUUUAGCUUGGAUAUCAGGAAGAACUUCUUUAUAGAAAGGGUUGUUAAGCACUGA
rnacentral:lncRNA from 1 species